AUUACUUAGUUGAAGGUCACCAUUCAUUUAGCCACUAAUAUUACUGUUAGACCCAAAUGUACAUUGUCACAUUACAUUACACAGCAUAAUUAGUUCCCAGACACAAUAUGACUGAACAGAAAAAUCUGAACAUAAAACAGGCUAAACAAAUCAAGAUAAGACGUAGGAUUGACUGUCUAAAUUCAGAAAGGCCAUUCAAGAACAAAGAGACAUUUUUGACGCCUUUGCAAAUGCAGAUAUGUAAU